GGAUUUCCCGGGAACCUUUGCAAAAAUGAAGCAUGUUGAAAAAAUGGCGACGGAAUAAAAAAACCUUCAAGAGUAAAGUCACAAUUUCACUCAGGCUUGGGAAGAAAAGGGAUCGAAGAGCUUUGGUUUGGCCAAUUGUCUGACAGAUUUAAAAUGUUAGUGCACGGAAGCUAAUUGGAAUGAAUGUAUCACACAACUUUGAUAAGUAAAGAUUGUUGGAGCCCAUUGAGCGAGCUGCAAUUGGAACAGAUCAGAAUUGUUCAAGGAAGAAGAAAACCCCAACUGUAUCAAAAAGAGAUGAUGGAAGUUCUAAGAAAAGUACGAAGAAACACGGUAUCAGCUCUGUGUAAGGAAAGCGAAUGUUUGAUAAGGGGAAUACACCGAGUAUUUGAUGGAGAAUAUAGUCAAGCCUUUCCUGUGUUUACAGAGUAAGAAAGAAAUGAAAGACUUUCAAGAAAGAGGUUAUAGAGCCUAAGGAUCUGCUAGAAUUGAAUUCUUCCGAGAAAAUGGCGUUUAAGAACGAUUGCACGGAAGCUAAUUGGAAUGAAUGUAUCACACACAACUUUGAUAAGUAAAGAUUGUUGGAGCCCAUUGAGCGAGCUGCAAUUGGAACAGAUCAGAAUUGUUCAAGGAAGAAGAAAACCCCAACUGUAUCAAAAAGAGAUGAUGGAAGUUCUAAGAAAAGUACGAGGAAACACGGUAUCAGCUCUGUGUAAGGAAACCGAAUGUUUGAUAAGGGGAAUACACCGAGUAUUUGAUGGAGAAUAUAGUCAAGCCUUUCCUGUGUUUACAGAGUAAGAAAGAAAUGAAAGACUUUCAAGAAAGAGGUUAUAGAGACUAACGAUCUGCUAGAAUUGAAUUCUUCCGAGAAAAUGGCGUUUAAGAACGAUGUAAGUUGUUGCUUUUAUUCAUGUAACCACAAAUUUAAAACUAAAUUACCUUUUUUAAUUUUUACCUAUUAAUUAUUUUUGAGGGAUUUUUAGAAUUUUCUUGCCUAAAUUGUUUGCCGUUCUUUGCUAUUAAAACAUGCUGAUGAAAUUAUUUGCUCGUUUUUGUGGUAAGUUCGAGGUUAUUCUCAUAGGUUUAACCUUGGACUUUGUAGUA